rnacentral:rRNA from 1 species
UUGAGGUUUCGGCCUCAAGGGAGUGGCGGACGGGUGAGUAGCGCGUGGGAACCUGCCCCUUUGUGGGGGAUAACCGAGGGAAACUUCGGCUAAUACCGCAUGCGCCCCGGCGCGAGCCGGGGGAAAGAUUUAUCGCAGAGGGAGGGGCCCGCGUCGGAUUAGGUAGUUGGUGGGGUAACGGCCUACCAAGCCUGUGAUCCGUAGCUGGUCUGAGAGGAUGAUCAGCCACACUGGGACUGAGACACGGCCCAGACUCCUACGGGAGGCAGCAGUGGGGAAUAUUGGACAAUGGGCGCAAGCCUGAUCCAGCAAUGCCGCGUGAGUGAUGAAGGCCUUAGGG